CUGUGUGAAUGUUGUUCAGCACCAGGGACAGAUGUGUUUAUUUAUGUUUGAAUGGUGUUCAGUGCCAGGGACAGAUGUGUUUGCUU
rfam:Branchiostoma floridae genomic scaffold BRAFLscaffold_98, whole genome shotgun sequence.